CCUACGGGAGACUGCAGUGAGGAAUAUUGGUCAAUGGACGAGAGUCUGAACCAGCCAAGUAGCGUGAAGGAUGACUGCCCUAUGGGUUGUAAACUUCUUUUAUAUGGGAAUAAAAUGUUCCACGUGUGGGAGUUUGUAUGUACCAUAUGAAUAAGGAUCGGCUACCUCCGUGCCAGCAGCCGCGGUAAUACGGAGGAUCCGAGCGUUAUCCGGAUUUACUGGGUUUAAAGGGAGCGUAGGUGGAUUGUUAAGUAAGUUGUGAAAGUUUGCGGCGCAACCGUAAAAUUGCAGUUGAAACUGGCAGUCUUGAGUACAGUAGAGGUGGGCGGAAUUCGUGGUGUAGCGGUGAAAUGCUUAGAUAUCACGAAGAACUCCGAUUGCGAAGGCAGCUCACUGGACUGCAACUGACACUGAGGCUCGAAAGUGUGGGUAUCAAACAGGAUUAGAUACCCGGGUAGUC
rnacentral:rRNA from 1 species